CAACCUCAACUCAUAUGGGACUACCCCCUGAAUUUAAGCAUAUUAAUUAGGGGAGGAAAAGAAACUAACAAGGAUUUUCUUAGUAGCGGCGAGCGAAAAGAAAUCAGUUCAGCACUAAGUCACUUUGUCUAUAUGGCAAAUGUGAGAUGCAGUGUAUGGAGCGUCAAUAUUCUAGUAUGAGAAAUUAACGAUUUAAGUCCUUCUUAAAUGAGGCCAUUUACCCAUAGAGGGUGCCAGGCCCGUAUAACGUUAAUGAUUACUAGAUGAUGUUUCCAAAGAGUCGUGUUGCUUGAUAGUGCAGCACUAAGUGGGUGGUAAACUCCAUCUAAAACUAAAUAUAACCAUGAGACCGAUAGUAAACAAGUACCGUGAGGGAAAGUUGAAAAGAACUCUGAAUAGAGAGUUAAAUAGUACGUGAAACUGCUUAGAGGUUAAGCCCGAUGAACCUGAAUAUCCGUUAUGGAAAAUUCAUCAUUAAAGUUAUAAUAUUUAAACAAUAUUAUACAAAUAAUGUGCAUUUUUUCCAUA
rnacentral:ncRNA from 1 species